rnacentral:sRNA from 1 species
CCUUCUAGAAGAUUAAUCUAUCAAAAUUUUAUAAUCUAUUUUCCCAAUAUAAUAAUUUAAUUUUUUAUUAAAAAUUUUUUAUAAAUAUUUGUUUUUAUUUUUUACAUUUUAGAUAAUUAAGUAAAAAAGUUAUAGCAAAAUACUAUUAAAAAAUCUAGUUGUUUGGAAACGACUAGAUAAAUGAAUGACAUUAUAUACAUUUAUUUAUAAAUAAGUAAUUGUUUAGCUUUGCUU